rnacentral:rRNA from 1 species
UACAGGGGGGGCAAGCGUUGUUCGGAAUUACUGGGCGUAAAGGGCUCGUAGGUGGCCAACUAAGUCAGACGUGAAAUCCCUCAGCUUAACUGGGGAACUGCGUCUGAUACUGGAUGGCUUGAGUUUGGGAGAGGGAUGCGGAAUUCCAGGUGUAGCGGUGAAAUGCGUAGAUAUCUGGAGGAAUACCGGUGGCGAAGGCGGCAUCCUGGACCGGCAUUGACGCUGAUGAGCGAAAGCUAGGGGAGCAAACGGG